UGCUGAAACUACAUUUCCCAGAGGCCCGCGCGGGGUCGUCGCGCCUCCCCCGUAGUGCAGCUACCCUCCGAGCGCCGAGCGGCACGUGCGGCUCCGGUUCUGUUCCCGUCGGAUCCGAGUCCGCUUCAGCCCUGUGGUAAUGCCCGGGAAGGCGAGACCCGCUAGAAGUUGAAGGCGGGAUACAGUCGGACGGUCGCCGUGGGGAGCGGAUCUGGGGCGCUCCCAGGAGACGGGGUAAGAGCCUAGGACCUUCACCAUCCCUAGGUUCCAUCCUGGCCCACAGGGCAGCUCCAUGGAUGACAGGCCUGACUCGGGGUACCUAGAGCUCUGUCUUUGCCCACAGAGCGGAAGGCCAGUGCUUGGCAACACCAGGAAAUUCAGUUUCCUACAAGAAUGGGGAAAUCCUUGGAAAGGAGUUUCAUCUUGAGUCAAGGAAGAAGAAUCACAUCCUGACAAGGAUAAUCACUUUGUGCCCAAGCCCAGGGCCAUAAAGAAGAGUAGCAACAAUGUCCCCUGAUGCUGAUGCAUUCACAGAAUUUACAACAGACUGACUAUACAGGAGGCUGACAAAUGAACCCUGGCCCAUCCUUAUGGAGAAGCCCUGCAACAGACCCUGGACCAGAACUGAGAGGAAAGGUCUCCUCAGGGAAAAUUGCCUUACCCAAUGAGACCAGGUUACUGUAGUUCUCCAGCAUCACUUCCUGGUACACGUGUCUCUGAGAAGGACCCAGCUUCCUCCACUCAUCCCGCGUAAAGAGCACAGCCACGUCCUCGAAGGUCACUGACAUCUAUAAUGACAAGCCAUCCCAGCUCACCAGGCCCUCCCAUCACACAGACUGAAGAAGGCAGCAGUGGGGGUAGGGGGAUGGGGUGGAUGGGCUGCCAUGAAAUGCUGCUGCUGCUGCUUCUUUGUUUUUAAAGAUUUAUUUGAGAGAGAGAGAGAGAAAGCUGGAGCGGUGGUGAGAGGCAGAGGGAGA